rnacentral:rRNA from 1 species
UAGUCCACGCUGUAAACGAUGUCUACUUGGAGGUUGUUGUCUUGAAUGAUGGCUUCGGAGCUAACGCGUUAAGUAGACCGCCUGGGAAGUAUGCACGCAAGUGUGAAACUCAAAGGAAUUGACGGGGGCCCGCACAAGCGGUGGAGCAUGUGGUUUAAUUCGAUGAUACGCGAGGAACCUUACCUAGGCUCGAACGCUACAAGACAGGACUUGAAAGGGUCUUUCCCUUCGGGGUUUGUAGUGAGGUGCUGCAUGGUUGUCGUCAGCUCGUGCCGUGAGGUGUUGGGUUAAGUCCCGCAACGAGCGCAACCCUUAUCCUUAGUUGCCAGCACAUAAUGGUGGGGACUCUAGGGAGACUGCCGGCGUAAGCCGCGAGGAAGGUGGGGACGACGUCAAAUCAUCAUGGCCUUUAUGCCUAGGGCUACACACGUGCUACAAUGGUGCAUACAGCGGGUAGCGAAAUCGCGAGGUGGAGCUAAUCUUGUAAAGUGCAUCCCAGUUCGGAUCGG